rnacentral:rRNA from 1 species
UACGGAGGGGGGCUAGCGUUGUCCGGAUUUACUGGGCGUAAAGGGCUUGUAGGCGGUUUGUUAAGUCUGGUGUGAAAUCUCCCGGCUCAACCGGGAGGGGUCAUCGGAUACUGGCAGACUAGAGACGGGUAGAGGAAAGCAGAAUUCCCGGUGUAGCGGUGAAAUGCGUAGAUAUCGGGAGGAAUACCAGUGGCGAAGGCGGCUUUCUGGGCCUGUUCUGACGCUGAGGAGCGAAAGCGUGGGGAGCAAACCGGG